UUACGUCAUUCUGCAGCUUGGUGAUGAGACUAUCGAGAACAUCAGACGGGAGCACAGCAAUACACUGGCAGACAGAAGCCUUGCAGAAAGGAGCAAGUCUGACAAAGCAACAGAGUUCUUGGUAGUGAACCUAAAAUCAUCAUAUCUUGUCCGCCGCCUGAUUUUACAAGGCAUCAACACGGACAUCGUGGAGUUAGCGAUACGCGCAAGACUUAACAGCACGGGGUUGGUAGACGUGCUGGACGAGCAAGACCUACGCAGGGCGCUAGGCGAAGUCGUGUCUUUACCACAAAACGUCAGAACAAGGGAAGUUCCAAAAGCUGAUACAGGUGACUUGAGCAAGUGCAUCAUCUGCAAGACGGGAGACAGACACAUGAUAUUCCUUCCAUGCAGUCAUCUUGUCUCCUGCACUGGAUGUGCCACAUCCAGCACCGUCUGUCCCUCAUGCGAGCGCAAGAUCGCAACCACGAGGGAGGUUUUCUUGGCCUGAAAACAUGGAAAAGUGAUGGUACGUAACAGACCAGCACUGGCUAUUACGUGGCAUUGCACCUCUCAACAACCGACACACGCCGGCGAUGACCCGACAUCACAGGAACACAUCGAGAAAACUGACAGAGCUAUUAGACAGGUUUAAACUCCGACGUGCGACUUGCAACGCGAACGGUGGAUGAAGAACGUUCUCCGUUGGACUGCCACUAAAUACCAGAAAAAAAGGUUCGACGACGCCAGGGCACACCCGCGUGCACCUCUGAUAGCUCUGAUAGCUGACGAUGUGCGAAGUGUGCGUAGCGAGAGGUGCUGAGCACGCGGUACCACCACUGGAUGUCGACUGCCUCACGACGUAAAGCCACGAAUCAUUAUACAUAUUUUUAUUAUUGCUAUUAUUAUUAAUUGGAGAGCACGACAUUCCGGCGCAGGUAGGCUUUUAUUGGGUAAGAACCUGUAUACAGUGUGUCCCAGCUAAGUGCGAAUAUAUUUAUAAAUACAAAUUAUAUAUUAGGGAAUUGGGGAUAUUAGGGAAUAUUAGAGAAUUAUAUAUUAGGGUGCAGGGAAGUGACACGAUCUUGGGUCGGCACCAACAGUGCGUCUCGGCGAGACGUACCCGUGGAACAUUGACGUCUCGCCGAGACGCACUGUUAGUGCCGACCCAAGGUCACUUGCCUACGACGCGCUGACGGGUUCCAAGUAGGAUGAAACAGCUGUACUCGGCUGGGAGUGCACGAUCAAAUUGUAAACAUAUGCUCAAUGUGCAGCCAUAGGGCAAGAUCGUGUCACAUGCCCCUACGCCGCGCUGACGAGUCCCAAGUAAGACGAAACAAUUUCAAACACGUCUAGUGUCAUUUACCCGUUUUUUAAUGACUUUUAUCCCCUCAUUAUAAUUCACUGGCUUGCACUGUGGCAUUGAGGAGUGCUCAGUCACGCUCUCCGGUGUAUAUCGCUCGCUGAAUGACCCCUGGUUUGCCAAUUCCGAACGAUGCGCAGCUACCCAGAGCUGACGAGCCGCAAACACGGCGAAACACGUGUCCUCUGGUGCUGUCGGAUCGUUCCAUGACUAUCUAUAUAUAUAUAGAUACUUAUAUACUACUUAUACUAUACUUAUAUAUAUAUAUAAUAUUUGUAUAUAUAUAUAUAUAGAGAGAGAGAGAGGAAAAACCGAAGAAGGCGGAGCUUCCGCCGAAACGUAGACUUCCCCAGACCCUUAGUAUAAAUGCCAACUUAAUAAAUAACUUUCCCCCACUCCCUACUUCAGUCUUUGGUGUCUUUUUUCCUCUAUCUAUAUACAACAUCCUGGUCGUUCGAACCUCCAUUUUUUAGCGUAUAUAUAUAUAUAUAUAUAUAUAUAUAUAUAGAACAAAUAGGUUAAUGUAUCAGACGGCUACGAAGUUGAAUGAAAGUGAAAUAAUAA